AAGGGCCCUGAAACUAAAUGUGUCCCCUUAGGAAAGCAGGAGUUUUCUUGCAAGUGGCAAUCUUCCGCUUAUGUCUCAUCGGCCAGAGCUGGGUCUUACGGCCACCGCUUGCUGCAAGCAAGGCUGGGACAUUGAGCAUUUUGCCUUCCAGCCUCUUUAGCAGAAUAAACCAAGGGGGAAGAACGUUAAUAAUGGCUUUCGAGUCACUAGUUGGCAGUAUCUGCCCCUCUAUCUUUCCAUCCUCCCCAUGGAGUUUCAAGGUUCCUUUCUCAGUACUUCUUCAGGCUCUGCACAUUCAUUUGGAUCUUGUGUCUUGGGGUGAAAAACUGGCCCAAGUGUCUCCCCAAGCAUCCACCUUUGGAUUAAUCUGGAAAGUGGCUGUUGAGUGCCCGCCUCUUGCUUGGUAUAAUGCUACAGCUUUAGAGGACGCAGCAGGCGUGGGCCUUGCCGCUGAGGUUCUUAGCCUCAUAAGAAUAUCCAGAUCAGAUUCUCUUGGCUCCUUCUUAGAGCCAGUGACUCAAGACACUUCCUGCUCAUCUUGUCGGGACAGUUUUACAAGUUGCCUGCCAUCCUGAGAAAGUCUACAAAACGAUGCCAGACCUCAUGCCAGCUUCCCAAGCCUUGACUCUCAGUGCUCCCUCAACAGGAUUCUGGAAGAAUCUCCCAAACAAGUCUCAAUGCUCUCUGGACCCUGUGCAGGCGUGAGACUCAAGAGCAUUGGCUUCCACCCCUGGUGGAGGGAGCCCUGCUGGGGCUGGGAUCUUGCCUGGUUGCUCCGCCUGCACCCAAGACAAUCAUAAUUAAAAUGUCCUUCAUUGAACUUGGAAAGCCCUCAAAGCUGACAACUCCUUACGUGUACCCGGAAAGGCCUGGGAGUGUGCCAGGGCAUUGCUCGGGAGGAACGCUGAUUUGGAAGCAUUUACCUGAUGAGAGACUGACAGCAGCUCCUGGUAGCCGAGCUUUCCCUCCUGCCUCUGCUGUGAAGGUGCACCCAUCUGACAGUCAAAUGCCUGACUCUGGACAGGACCAGACCUAUUUAUUGCCAUGCAAGGGACUCUGCACUUUUGAAUUGUGGGUCAUGGGCUUGGAUUUAGGGGUUAGAGCUGGGAGAAGUCUUUGAAGUCACCUAGAGAUGACACUGCCAUUUUGCAGAUGAGGAAACCGUCCAAUCAAAAUGGACCAAGGACUUGCCCAAGCCUCACAGCAAAACCAUAGGCCCCCGCACUAACCCCGGAGUCCCUGUGCUGUCUUAAGGAUCAAAUAGUUGUGAGCAAUCAUCUGGUUUUCAGUAUUUCUUCUUUUAAAAUGCCUGGGGCCAUGCCCAGCAGUCUGUUUCACUGCAGCGUUUACACAGGGCUGCCGGGCUUUCCUGGUGGAUGAGCUGGGCGGUUCAUGAGCCAGAACCACUCAGCAGCAUGUCAGUGUGCUUCCUGGGGAGCUGGCAGCAGGGGCUCCAGGCCCUGCUUCAGGGCUGCUUUCUAGCAUAUGGCUGAUCGCCUCCUCACUCCUCCUCCCUGCAUUGCUCCUGCGCAAGAAGCAAAGGUGAGGGGCUGGGUGUGGCUCGUCCUGGCCCCUCUAAGGUGGUUCUUGGUGGUUUCUAGAUGUGACAGCGCCCUUAGUGGAUGAGAGAGCUCCUGGCGAGCAGGCUGCCGCCCAGCCCCACAUGGAGAUCCCAGAAGGAACCACAGGUGAGGGUGAGCCCUAGAGACCCCCGGGCAGUCAAGGCCCUGCUGGGUGCCCCAGCUGACCUGCGACAGAAGUGAGGGAGCUUUGCGUGUUUAUCCUCCUGUGGGGCAGGAACAUGGGUGGAUUCUGGCUCCUGGGAAUCUUGGGUUGUGAGUAGCUCGAUGCCUUGGUGCCCGGUUACCUCCCUGGCUGCCUGCCAGCCUCUCAGAGCAUUUAGGGCCUCCUGGACUUCUUCUAGAUGCUCCUUAUCUUGCCUCAGUCAGUGCGUCAGUUCCAGACACUUCUCUGCAGGGUUUUCUGGGGCAGGUGGUGGCAGACCCGUGCCUUCUUGACACCUGAGGUCAGUCCGCCCUCCUGCUCAGACUGCCCAGCAUAGGGUCACCUCCCAAGGGGUGGACCCCAAGAUCACCUGAGCGCAUAGUGGGUGCAGAUGACUGGACCACACCUUUUGGUGAUCUUAAUAAGGUGGUCCCAGAGGAGCUGAGACAUGCAAUCUAGCAUCCAGUUCUGGGACUCUGUCUCCUUUUCAGACGUAUUCGUGUAGAACAGGCAUGACGAAAAUGCCUUGUCAACAUGGGUGAUGGGGAAUCGAUCAGACAGGGUGCUGGGCUCAAGGCUGCAGUCACCCAAGAGUGGCUCAGCCCACCAGGCCCUAGGAAACGCCUGCACAGCCUGGAGCUCCUGGAGUCAUUUCCUUCAUGUCUUCUUCACUGCACUUACGUAAAGACGCCAGCCAUUGGUUUGGUGAUUUGGAGGGUGCCCAGUUGCCCAACAAGAAAUGCAGAAGAGGCCUAGACAGGAUUUCACCAGCAGUGGAGAGCAGGGAAGAUGUGCCCAGAAAAGAGUUUCCUUUCCUUCCUAAAGAUGGUGCUUCCUGCAGCUACUGGGGAAGCCUGCAGCGUUCUCUAGGGCUCUGUGUGUUGAGAACAGCCCCACCCUGGCCCCUUCUGAGUGCAUUUCUGCUUUGUGACUUGAUCCGUGAGGUCCCCUGAGAUGGGCAGAGAGGAUGUCCUCGAAGCUGGGGCAGAGCCUCAUCCUUGAACGUGAAGGACGUUUGAAGACUGGCAUGAUCAUGGGAUGAGAUCACAGGGAACUUGAGUUUCUUUCCUCCUCUCCCUUCACAGUUAUUUCACUGAGGGAAAUCCCUCCCCUGCCCAGAAUGAAAACUCUAGCCAACUCUUGACUUUUCCAUCACUCCAAAGUAGUUGAAAGUACUUUAGUCUCCACAGUGGCAAAACACAGUGUGCAAAGGCUAAAUAAUUAGAACAGCCAGUCCCAUGUGACAGUCAAAGCUUCUAACUCCAUUCACAGUUGCAGCCAUUCCCCUCGGGGGGCUGGCAGGGAGGGGAGGGGUAAGAGAAACAGGAAGGUUCUUACUGAGUUGGUCCUGGUGUGAGCUGUGUCACACUCCCUGCAGAGGUUUCAAGGAGACUGUCUCUCUCUCCAUGGGGACCUUAUUUGAAUUCUUCUAGACUCUUCCCCCAGCCUGCCAUCUCCAGCUAUCCUCCCUUGAAGAGCCCUUCCACUGCGCUGGAUUCUGGUGGCCAUGUCAUCUCCUCAGCCCCGUGGGAGUCUGAAGAUCUGGCUGCAGCCUCACCUCUGAGGUCCUGCUGACUGCCACCUCUUAGACAUGAUCUGAGGCUCCCAGGCACUCUGACCUGUGCCCACAUGGGGCCCACGGGAAACACGCUGGCAAGCAAACUGUGGGUGUGCGGACGGUUCUCAGGGCUGCAGCACCUGUCCUUUGCUGUGCCCCCAAAGCAAGAGGCCAGCCCAUCUUCCAUCCUCUAGUGUUCCUUGGUGGGGCCCUGACCAUAGUCCACCAGGUCCCUAAGCAGAGGGGACACACACCAGGUGUCCUCAAUGUAUUGCCUUGAAACAGUUGUGCUGGGACUGUGAUGGGGGGUGGCCAUGUAGCCACUCCCACCACCCCCAAGCCACUCUUUCCACGGAAAUCCUCCUAAAGAUCCCUUUACACCCUCCAUGUGGUGGGGAGGUUCUAGAGUUGGGUGCAUGUGUCUUCAGCUACUGAUAAUGCAGACCUUAGUUGGCACCUCGCUCUGGCCUAUUCUGUUUGCUGUUCUUGGUGCUCCAGUGAAACUCCCCAUGGGCCAUCCAGUUGGGGUGCAGUGUGGCCACCCCCUUGCAGGAUCCUGCCUUGCUGGAGAGCACAGGGCCCUCCUGGCUCUUGUAAAACACUCCCCAGGGUACAGAGAGGCCAGCGGUGAUGUGAGGCCCAACCUCCACCAUGCCCUCCCUCCCUCCUUGGUGUUUCCAAGCAGCUCCCUUUCUGGGGUCAAGGGGUGGCAAAGACAGCGCAGCCUCCAAUUUCUGACUCACGCCGGGCCUGGCUAUUGCAGCUCUGCACUGUGUGUGACAGCAAGGUGACUCAGCCAGUGCCAUGGCAGUGACGGUGUCGGGGGAAGCCUCCUCACGCCCUCUGUCUCAAGGACUCUGGCAUUUAGCUGGACUUGCUGUCGCUCUGAGCCUUUCUGCCAUUGCCAUCACCUUGUCAGAAACUCAGGCCGAAUCUGCACUCAGAGUUGUGCCCAGGCAGUUGAGCCAACACUCGCUCAGCAAUAUUGUCACAUGACAAGGCACUGUCACCACUGGGCCUCGUGGGCAGCACAGUGUCGGCUGGAUGGAUCUGGAGGGUGUCUGUGUCAUGCUAGUGCUAGUGAUGGGAGCCCCGUGAGCCCAUUGCCCGCCCUCCCAUCCCCUCAGCAGCUGCCUGGGGACAGCCAAUGGCCUGGGUGUUUAUGAGGCUACCACAUGGCUGCCAGGAAACUCAAGAACCUUUCCCUUGCCUACACUCUUCACACAGGCCUGUGCUGGCCAGCGGUGGGGAUCCGGCAUUCCUGUCUUAGGUGCGGAGAGUGACUGACUCAUUUCAGGCCUGGGAGAUAAGACUGAUGGCCCAGCCAGCGAGAUGUAUGCAUUUCUCAGAGGCAGUGGCCUCUGUCAUUGUCCUCAGGAAAUGCUGGUGAUUCUGGUGGCCUGAGGUCAAUGCAUGUCAACAUGGCCAACUUGCCUUAUAAACUUUUUUUCUGGACAGUUGCGUGCAUUGUCCUGUAACAGUGUCCUGCUGUUUAUGAUGCAGAAAUAGGUGUUUUUAAAGCCUAUUGAUUUUGGUACUAUUAAUGUGGUCAGGAACUUUCUCAGUCUUUCUUGUUUGGGGUGAGCUGUGGCUUCCUAAACAGGAACCCAAGACACCCCCAAAAGCUGCUCACCAGCACUGCCAGCCUCCCUCUUACCAAGUAGUACCCAUUCAGGGCAUUCUGUGAAAGGCAUUUGCCCAGAAGUUGGGAGGAAGGAAAUGUAACAUUUUGGGGCACCUACCAUAUGCCAGGCACCAGGCUAAACGUGUUCACACAAAUUCUCUUACUAACCCUCACCAUCCUUCUACAAGACAAACUAGUAUCUUCAUCUUGGGGUUCUAGAUGAGGAAAUGGAGGCUCAGAGAGGUUGAAUGAAUGCUGGUGCCUGGACAUGAACCCCAUCUGCCUGACUCCGCAACGCAGGCAAAGUCUUUCCUUGAACUUCCCAGCAGCCACUGCUUAGACCCAGCCUCCAUGACCAUGGCUCAGCAACAAAUUGCUUCUCUGACCUCACUCAGCCUGUGUCCUUGUUGAGUGAGGCAUUCAGUACCCUGGUCCCAAAGUGGAGAAAGUCUUUCCUACUGGGUCAUAGCUACACCUACAUGUGGGUGCUGUGCAUUUUGUUUAGUGAACUUUUAUCACCAGCAUCCUCAGCAAUGACAUUUGCAGAGAAGCCAGAGCUGAGGCAUCUUGGUAUUCUUGGGAUGUGACUUUCCUGAAUGUUUUAGGGAAAAUACCCGAAGAUACAGAGAGCUUGGUUUCUAGUAAACAAUAACUGUCUUGCUUUUACCCCCCUUCAUUUGCUGACACAUACACCAGCUGAAGAAGCAGGCAUUGGAGACACCCCCAGCCUGGAAGACGAAGCUGCUGGUCACGUGACCCAAGCUCGCAUGGUCAGUAAAAGCAAAGACGGGACUGGAAGCGAUGACAAAAAAGCCAAGGGGGCUGAUGGUAAAACGAAGAUCGCCACACCGCGGGGAGCAGCCCCUCCAGGCCAGAAGGGCCAGGCCAACGCCACCAGGAUUCCAGCAAAAACCCCGCCUGCUCCAAAGACACCACCCAGCUCUGGUGAACCUCCAAAAUCAGGGGAUCGCAGCGGCUACAGCAGCCCCGGCUCCCCAGGCACUCCCGGCAGCCGCUCCCGCACCCCGUCCCUUCCAACCCCACCCACCCGGGAGCCCAAGAAGGUGGCGGUGGUCCGUACUCCACCCAAGUCGCCGUCUUCCGCCAAGAGCCGCCUGCAGACAGCCCCCGUGCCCAUGCCAGACCUGAAGAACGUCAAGUCCAAGAUCGGCUCCACUGAGAACCUGAAGCACCAGCCGGGAGGCGGGAAGGUGCAAAUAGUCUACAAACCAGUUGACCUGAGCAAGGUGACCUCCAAGUGUGGCUCAUUAGGCAACAUCCAUCAUAAACCAGGAGGUGGCCAGGUGGAAGUAAAAUCUGAGAAGCUUGACUUCAAGGACAGAGUCCAGUCGAAGAUUGGGUCCCUGGACAAUAUCACCCACGUCCCUGGCGGAGGACAUAAAAAGAUUGAAACCCACAAGCUGACCUUCCGUGAGAACGCCAAAGCCAAGACAGACCACGGGGCAGAAAUCGUGUACAAGUCGCCAGUGGUGUCUGGGGACACGUCUCCACGGCAUCUCAGUAAUGUCUCCUCCACCGGCAGCAUCGACAUGGUAGACUCGCCCCAGCUCGCCACGCUAGCCGAUGAGGUGUCUGCCUCCCUGGCCAAGCAGGGUUUGUGAUCAGGCCCCUGGGGCGGUCAAUAAUAGUGGAGAGGAGAGAGUGAGAGAGUGUGGAAAAAAAAAGAAUAAUGACCCGGUCCCCGCCCUCUGCCCCCAGCUGCUCCUCGCAGUUCGGUUAAUCGGUUAAUCACUUAACCUGCUUUUGUCGCUCGGCUUUGGCUCGGGACUUCAAAAUCAGUGAUGGGAAUAAGAGCAAAUUUCAUCUUUCCAAAUUGAUGGGUGGGCUAGUAAUAAAAUAUUUAAAAAAAAAAAAAACAUUCAAAAA
rnacentral:sRNA from 1 species